rnacentral:lncRNA from 1 species
AGCCAUUGUGUUUCACAAACUGGAUCUUUACCUGAUACAAUUAAGUGUUUGAUAAUCUUAUCAAUACCAGAACAUAGCUCUGAUACCAAUUAAAGGUGGCAAGAAACACAAGAAAUGGGGGUUUGAAUUAGGUUUCUAAAAAUGAAAGAUUUUUCAACCUAACACAACAAACAGUAAACAAAAAACAAAAAUAAUAAAACAAUUAUUUUUUUCCUGGUUCGUUG